rnacentral:rRNA from 1 species
UACAUGGGGUGCAAACGUUGCUCGGAAUUAUUGGGCGUAAAGCGCGCGUAGGCGGUUACUCAAGUCGGAUGUGAAAGCCCUCGGCUUAACUGAGGAAGUGCACCCGAAACUGAGUAGCUAGAGUACUAAAGAGGGUCGCGGAAUUCCCGGUGUAGAGGUGAAAUUCGUAGAUAUCUGGAGGAACACCGGUGGCGAAGGCGGCAUCCUGGACCAACACUGACGCUGAGGAGCGAGAGCCAGGGGAGCAAACGGG